CUGCCUACGGGGCGCAGCAGUGAGGAAUAUUGGUCAAUGGGCUUACGCCUGAACCAGCCAAGUCGCGUGAGGGAAGACUGCCCUAUGGGUUGUAAACCUCUUUUGUCAGGGAGCAAUUGGCGCUACGUGUAGCGUUAUCGAGAGUACCUGAAGAAAAAGCAUCGGCUAACUCCGUGCCAGCAGCCGCGGUAAUACGGAGGAUGCGAGCGUUAUCCGGAAUGAUUGGGCGUAAAGGGUGCGCAGGCGGAAUGUCAAGUCAGCGGUAAAAUUUCGGGGCUCAACCCCGUCGUGCCGUUGAAACUGGG
rnacentral:rRNA from 1 species